GACGAACGCUGGCGGCGUGCUUAACACAUGCAAGUCGAACGAUGAAGCCCAGCUUGCUGGGUGGAUUAGUGGCGAACGGGUGAGUAACACGUGGGCAACCUGCCCCAAACUCUGGGAUAACUCCUCGAAAGAGGUGCUAAUACCGGAUACGAACUAGACAGACAUCUGUACUAGUUGGAAAGUUUUUCGGUUUGGGAUGGGCCCGCGGCCUAUCAGCUUGUUGGUGAGGUAACGGCUCACCAAGGCUACGACGGGUAACCGGCCUGAGAGGGCGACCGGUCACACUGGGACUGAGACACGGCCCAGACUCCUACGGGAGGCAGCAGUGGGGAAUAUUGCACAAUGGGCGCAAGCCUGAUGCAGCAACGCCGCGUGAGGGAUGACGGCCUUCGGGUUGUAAACCUCUUUUAGUAGGGAAGAAGCGAAAGUGACGGUACCGGAAGAAGAAGCCCCGGCUAACUUCGUGCCAGCCGCCGCGGUAA
rnacentral:rRNA from 1 species